rnacentral:rRNA from 1 species
UACGUAGGAGACGAGCGUUGUCCGGAGUUACUGGGCGUAAAGGGUGCGCAGGUGGCGGCGCGCGUGGGGGGUGAAAUCGCCCGGCUUAACUGGGCGGGGGCCUUCCAGACGGCGUGGCUUGAGCAGCGGAGGGGGACGUGGAAUUCCGGGUGGAGCGGUGAAAUGCGUAGAGAUCCGGAGGAACACCGACGGCGCAGGCAGCGUCCUGGCCGCUUGCUGACACUGAGGCACGAAAGCUGGGGGAGCAAACAGGAUUAGAUACCCUGGUAGUCCCAGCCGUAAACGAUGUCCACCAGGUGCUGGGCGGAUCGACCCGUUCAGUGCCGCAGCUUACGUGAUGAGUGGACCGCCUGGGGAGUACGGCCGCAAGGUUGAA